rnacentral:lncRNA from 1 species
CAGAAAAUUGCUCUCUUCUCUUCUCUUCUCUUCUCUUCUCUUCUCUUCUCUUCUCUUCUCUUCUCUUCUCUUCUCUUUCUUCUCUUCUCUCUUCUCUUCUCUUCUCUUCUCUUCUCUUCUCUUCUCUUUUCUCUUCUUCUCUUUUCUCUUUUCUCUUCUCUUCUCUUUUCUCUCUUCUCUUCUCUUCUCUUCUCUUUUCUCUUCUCUUCUCUUCUCUCUUCUCUCUUCUCUUCUCUUCUCUUCUCUUUUCUAUUUUCUCUUCUCUCUUCUCUUUUCUCUCUUCUCUCUUCUCUACGGAGACACCUAGCAGACUCGAUAUAGACCCCAAUGAAGUGAGGGGCCGGGACCUUUUCUCUGGUUGAUAACAUUAACUUAGUUAAUGUGGUUUGGUGACAAUGGAACUUUACCAAGUUAAUGCCAAUGGAAGAACACAGUUCUUUCAUAGAGAUGCCAAUAAAGCCACUGUAGGAAGAUAUCCCCAAUAAUCUCUGUGUGGGACAUGGCAUAUGAAAUAUUUCAAACAAGGAGCAAUGUGGAGGACAGUGAGUCACAGGCUUACCCCUGAAGAGAUUUCCCAUUCCCAGGAGAGACGGUGAAGCAGAGGAGGAGGGCAAGUUCCCAAAAGUCAUAAAGCAAGGCUGCCUGGAAGUUACCACUCCUGACUUAAGCUUAGCCUAGUAAGAGAAGCCAACUGGUCCUUGGACAGAGUCUGGGAAGGAAAAUUCUACGAAGUUGUGUGAAAGCCCAAACCUGCAAGAGGGUGUAGAAAAACAAUUCAAUGAACAGAUUCAAGAGCCAGAGACCUAUUGGCUGAUGCCACUCUGUGCCUAAAACUCCUCAGUUGAAAGGAUAGCAAGGUACAAGUAGAAGCCUGCUUUGGGAGAUUAUUUGCAAAGAUUGUAAGAUCAUUCUGUAGGGUGUUUAGCCAAGUUCCCAUCAAUGAGAAACUCAUGGGUAAGACUCCAGUAAAAAGUCAAUUUGCGCAGCAGAAGCUAUUGGCUACAGAGCGGGACAUUGCUCCAUUACAGGAAGACGUAUCAGUGAGCACAUCCUUCAUGCAGUUGUAGGCUGGAUAACAAGACUGAACAGCAUGGAAUACCUUUAUUCUUGGCCCCAAAUAGGAGCAGAAGGAGAUGAGCUUGCAGAGCAACUUCCCCAAUCUGUUUGGGGUUGGGCGGUUUCGGAUUUCAGAGCUGAGUACACACGGCAUAUAAUGAAGCCCAAGCGAGGAAAAUGAGCACACGACAAACCUAACAUCCUCUGGAUGCUGACCACACCUGGUUUGUUCCAUGCUUACCAUCACAACAGACCCACUGUUGGCAACCUCUACUAAAUUCUGUUUCUGCGAAUUGUACUUAAGGAUUCUCAUGGAAGUGAGAUCAUGUGGUAUUUAUCUCCCUAUGCCUGGCUUUUUCACUUAACAUGAAACACUUGGCUUUUGUCUGAAGAGUAAAUGUUAGAGGCUUC